AACGAACGCUGGCGGCAGGCCUAACACAUGCAAGUCGAGCGAAGCCUUCGGGCUUAGCGGCGGACGGGUGAGUAACGCGUGGGAACGUGCCCUUUGGUACGGAAUAGCCCCGGGAAACUGGGAGUAAUACCGUAUGUGCCCUUCGGGGGAAAGAUUGAUCGCCAAAGGAUCGGCCCGCGUUGGAUUAGGUAGUCGGUGGGGUAAUGGCCUACCAAGCCGACGAUCCAUAGCGGGUUUGAGAGGAUGAUCAGCCACACUGGGACUGAGACACGGCCCAGACUCCUACGGGAGGCAGCAGUGGGGAAUCUUAGACAAUGGGGGAAACCCUGAUCUAGCCAUGCCGCGUGAUCGAUGAAGGCCUUAGGGUUGUAAAGAUCUUUCAGUGGGGAAGAUAAUGACUGUACCCACAGAAGAAGCCCCGGCUAACUCCGUGCCAGCCGCCGCAGUAAAAC
rnacentral:rRNA from 1 species